CCUUGAUUCCUAUAAGACGUACCUUUUAGUCGAGUCAUUCCCUUUGAUUCCUAUAAGACGUACCUUUUAGUCGAGUCAUUCUGCUUGAUUCCUAUAAGACGUACCUUUUAGUUGAGUCAUCUCCCUUGACCCCUAAAAGACGUACCUUUUAGUCGAGUCAUUUCCCUUGAUUCCUAAAAGACGUACCUUUUAGUCAAAUCAUCCGUCUUGAUUAUUAUAAGACGUACCUUUUAGUCGAGUUAUCCCCUUGAUUCCUAUUAGACGUACCUUUUAUUUGAGUCAUCCCCUUUGAUUCCUAUAAGACGUACCUUUUAGUCGAGUUAUUCCCCUUGACCCCUAGAAGACGUACCUUUUAGUCGAGUCAAUUCCUUUGAUCCCUAUCAGACGUACCUUAUAGUGGAGUCAUUCUCCUUGAUUCCUAUAAUGAUGUGACUUUCACAAAAGUCCUUUGAUGAUAAACUGGGGAAAAAUUUAAUUCUUGUUUUUGG
rnacentral:lncRNA from 1 species